GGAUAGGGUACUGGGAUACAAGCGGGGCUGUAACCCCUGCGUCGCGCGACGGCUCGCAGAGUUCGAUUCUCUGACUAUCCAC
rnacentral:tRNA from 7 species